rnacentral:rRNA from 1 species
CCUACGGGUGGCAGCAGUCGAGAAUCAUUCACAAUGGGGGAAACCCUGAUGGUGCGACGCCGCGUGGGGGAAUGAAGGUCUUCGGAUUGUAAACCCCUGUCAUGUGGGAGCAAAUUAAAAAGAUAGUACCACAAGAGGAAGAGACGGCUAACUCGGUGCCAGCAGCCGCGGUAAUACAGCGGUCUCAAGCGUUGUUCGGAAUCACUGGGCGUAAAGCGUGCGUAGGCUGUUGCGUAAGUCGUGUGUGAAAGGGGCGGGCUCAACCCGCGGACGGAACAUGAUACUGAGAGACUAGAGUAAUGGAGGGGGAACCGGAAUUCUCGGUGUAGCAGUGAAAUGCGUAGAUAUCGAGAGGAACACUCGUGGCGAAGGCGGGUUCCUGGACAUUAACUGACGCUGAGGCACGAAGGCCAGGAGAGCGAAAGGGAUUAGAUACCCUGGUAGUC